rnacentral:ncRNA from 2 species
GAUAAUUCGCUCGCUUUUGGUUUUGAGUAGAUUACUCAAUUAAAGGGAAGUUGGUAAGACAUUGUUCAAACCCAACGCUGCCCCCGCAACGGUAUAUAAGAAAAGUGUAUCAACAGCCACUGUGUAAAACAUGGGAAGGCGAUACACCGGCAAACAGCCACUUAUGAGCCCGGAGACCUGCCACCAGCAAACCGGUACG